rnacentral:misc_RNA from 1 species
GAUGAAGAACGCAGCGAAAUGCGAUAAGUAGUGUGAAUUGCAGAAUUUAGUGAAUCAUCGAAUCUUUGAACGCACAUUGCGCCCCUUGGUAUUCCGGGGGGCAUGCCUGUUCGAGCGUCAUUUCAACCCUCAAGCUCUGCUUGGUCUUGGGCCGCGCCGGCGACGGCGGGCCUCAAAAACAGUGGCGGCGCCAUCUGGUUCCUCAGCGUAGUAAUUCUUCUCGCUGUUGGGCCCGGGUGGCCGCUGGCCAGCAACCCCAAAUUUUCUAUGGUUGACCUCGGAUCAGGUAGGGAUACCCGCUGAACUUAAGCAUAUCAAUAAGCGGAGA